GAAGCCGGCCAGGCAGCCGCGUCGCGCUUGCGCGCCGAGGAAAGUCCGGGCUCCACAGGGCAGGGUGCCAGGUAACGCCUGGGCGGCGCGAGCCGACGGACAGUGCAACAGAGAGCAAACCGCCGAUGGCCGCCGCGAGGCGGAUCAGGCAAGGGUGAAACGGUGCGGUAAGAGCGCACCGCGAGUCUGGCAACAGACCGGCACGGCAAACCCCACCUGGAGCAAGACCUAAUAGGGGAACCAUGACGCGGCCCGCGUCGUUCCCGGGUUGGUCGCUCGAGUCCUGCGGCGACGCAGGACCUAGAGGAAUGGCUGCCCACGACAGAACCCGGCUUAUCGGCCGGCUUCCACU
rnacentral:RNase_P_RNA from 1 species